GAUAAAGACAGCACUGCGUGUAUCUCUAAUCCGCGUCGUCACCAUUGCUACGACCCACCAGUGUGAGAAUGCCCACGAAAAUGGCGACUCUAAUUUCUGUCAGACCUUCGCUUCAAACACUUCUACUAGAUACCGACGAAACUAAAAUGACUUUCUGCUCUGUGUGACAACAUGAUAAACCUGGAGGACCUUAAGCUAAGUCAAUUAGCCAGGCACUGAAGAGAAAUGCCGCGUAAUUCCAUUUGUAUGAAGGAGAGCUGGCGUCAUCCCAGGAGAGAAGCAGUGUAUUCUGCUGAAAGGAAC